rnacentral:lncRNA from 1 species
CUUGGUUCACCAGGCUUUCUUUGGCAUCCUACAACAGGGCCUCUCUCGGUCGAAGGCUUAAAAACCAUGUGCUGAAUGAGUAAAUGCUGGGAUUAUGUAUUCAUUUGCCAGGGCUGCCAUAAUAAAGUAUCCAAGACUUGAAUGGCUUAACUCACAGAAAUGUAUUUUCUCAUAGCAUUGAUCCGGGUGUGGGCAGCAUGGGCUUCUUCUGAGGCUUCUCUCCGUGGCCUGAGGACCAACCCCUUCCUGCUGUCUUCACCUGGGCUUCCUUCUGUACAUGUUUGGUACCUACUCUCUUAGGACAAUGGUUAUAUUGCAUUAGAACCACCUUAAUGACUCAUGUAACCUUCAUUAUCCUUUUAGGAUAUGAUGUCCAGAUACAGUCAGUCACAUGGGUGGUUAGAGCUUCAAUGUACGAAUUUGUGUGUGUGUGUGGGGGGGGGGGGAGGGUGUUGCAAAUUCGUUCCAUAACAGGUUCCCAUCUAUAGUACCUAUGUUGUUUUCACUUCUCAGAUGGGUUUUCUCUGUUUCCCGUUACCCCCAUUUGUGCUCACCCAGUGCUAAUCCUCAUUUGCCCUUUUCUCAAGCUGUAACUGUGUUUAUCUGUAGAGUGAUUCUCUCUUCCCUCUACCUCUAGACUCUCAGUUCCUGGCAUUGUUUUAACACUUGAAUUACAUUCUCAUCUUGAACAUCAUAACCUCCCUAUAAGGUAAGCAUGAUUACUCUCAUUGCAAGAAUAUACAAUUGUAGGCAGUGUUUCUGAGGUCACAGUACUAGUAGAUGGUGUCAUUCUGAUUUUAACUUGAUUCUCAUGGGCUCAAGAGCCUACUUUCUUCUACCACACAGUCACCAAGAUGAAUAGGGAAAAAUCAUACUUCCGCUUUAUAUAUUAUAAGCAGUGGUACCCUUAAAGUUGGUGUCACAUUUCCAGAAAUGGGAUUAAAUUUAGAAUCUGAGUAAUUAUACCCACAGGUUGAAUUUGAACCUCAUGUCUGUUUUUUUUUUCUUUAACCGCUGCAAUUUCUAUUAUCCUUAAUGAUUAUCUAAAUUUAUUCUUCCCUUUGUAAAAUUUAGCAACUAAGAAUACUAAGAAAGUGUUUCCUUUUUAAGAGGUCAGAAUUAUACAAUGAAUUCAUAAUGUCAAGGCAAUAGCUGUUAUUUUAUUCUAAAAUAUACAGGAAAAGGUCAUAGCUUUUGUUAUAAGAGUUUAACAUGUGUUCUUGAUAACAUGCCAGAGCUCUAUUGGUGAAAAACCAUCAUAGGCUUUGAAAGCCAGUUAUUUAUAGUUUGGAGAAUAUCAAUUUGGAUUCAGCUCAUUGUUUAAAAUAGAAAUUAAAAUUUUUCUCCAUCAACUUUAUAUUUUAGAAUGAGCUUUGCUUUGAGAAGUAUAUUAAAUAUGCAUUAAAAAUUAAUUUCCAAUGGAUACAAGUUGUACAAUCAUUAAAUUGACAGGGAAGUGGGUGUCAAAACUUUUCAUUUUGAUAUGUAGAUGGCAAUAUGAUAGGUCAUGUGUGGCUCCUUAUACCUGUUGAGCUUCGGUCUUCAUUUACUGUUUCCAAACGAUUGCUCUGAGCUUACGGGUAUUGAUUAAGUGACCACAUAAUGGUUGUUUUAAGUUGGCAUCAAGGGUGCAGAGAUGAUUCUUAGGUUGCACAUGAGGAAACUGUUGAUUCCCUCCUUCUACAUCUGCAUAGCUCCUAAAAAUGUAAGGCUAGACCCUUUUAUCCAAAUAAAUUUUGUUCAAAGCAAGUGCGCCUUGCGUAUAAGCUAAAGACUUAAAUAAUAAUCAAUACUUUUGGAGUCUGAUAUUAAUUUAGGGAUUUAAAAUAGGUCUAGAAUAAGCUUGUAGACACUAAUAUACCUACAAUUACUGGUAAUUAAAACAAGGAAAUAGCCUGAAUCUCCAAGCAUAAAAUACUGUUGUUUCCCUAGGAACUUAUCAUGUUAAGUUG